rnacentral:ribozyme from 1 species
GUGCUCAGCUGCCGUCCCCUCCUCCUCCGCCAUCAUCAUCUAUCGUCCACCCCAAUCGCCUCAUCGCCCCCUCCUGCCGCCACUACCAUCUC